UCUUAAGGUUUUUGCAGCCACGCAAAUCUAGUAGUUCAAGUCGAGAGAGCAAACAAAUUGAUGAGGGUAUUUCUUUUAUUGCAGGUGAAUACAGAUCUAGAACUUUUAUACUCUUUGGAAUUUCCGGAAUCUCCUUUAUUUUUGAGCAAUAAGAGAGAUCAAAGCGUUCAAGAGAUGUCAACCCUCAAUACGUGGCAAACUCCCAAUCAUUUUACAAGAUCUCAAACUUAAG
rnacentral:misc_RNA from 1 species